rnacentral:tRNA from 1 species
UAGCUUAGUUGGUAAAGAAUCUGUCUGCAAUGCAGGAGACCUGGGUUCGAUUCCUGG